GCCGCCUUAGCUCAGUGGUAGAGCAACGCACUCGUAAUGCGUAGGUCCGGGGUUCAAAUCCCCGAGGCGGCU
rnacentral:tRNA from 1 species